rnacentral:rRNA from 1 species
UACGGAGGGGGCUAGCGUUGUUCGGAAUUACUGGGCGUAAAGCGCACGUAGGCGGCCUGUUAAGUCGGGGGUGAAAUCCUGGGGCUCAACCUCAGAAUUGCCUCCGAUACUGGGAGUCUCGAGUGCGGGAGAGGUGAGUGGAAUUCCCAGUGUAGAGGUGAAAUUCGUAGAUAUUGGGAAGAACACCAGUGGCGAAGGCGGCUCACUGGCCCGUAACUGACGCUGAGGUGCGAAAGCGUGGGGAGCAAACAGG